GGCAAAAUCCCAUUUUGGCUCUAAAUAGCCAUAUCUAUUUUAGGAAAGAAUGGUGAAGAAAUAAUACUACUCUUUACACUUUCCAUUUUAUAUGGAAAGAGUUGAAGGUGAUCUUUGUAAAAGAUGGAGUGGAAAAUUUAAAGGACAAUGUAUAAUUCCCUAUUGAAAUAUGAUGAAUACUCGAAUUGAUUUUUGCUUAAACAAAUAUCAAAAGAUAUUGGAAGAGUGGAAGGUGGUCUUUGUAAAAGAUGGAGUGGAAAAUUUAAAGGGCAAUGUAUAAUUCCCUAUGAUUGUGAUGAAACAUGUAGAUUAAAAGAAGGUGCUAUUGAAGGUGAAUGUGAUUGGAUUGGAAUGAAAAAAGGAUUUGUUUGCAUGUGUAUAUUUGGUGGUUGCUAAUUAGUAUAAUAGUGAUAUAUAUAUAUAUAUAUAUAUAUAUAUAUAUAUAUAUAUAUAUAUAUAUAUAUAUAUAUAUAUUUCUACCUUGAACUAUACGCAAAAAAGUUGAG